rnacentral:rRNA from 1 species
GACGAACGCUGGCGGCGUGCCUAAUACAUGCAAGUAGAACGCUGAAGGAGGAGCUUGCUUCUCUGGAUGAGUUGCGAACGGGUGAGUAACGCGUAGGUAACCUGCCUGGUAGCGGGGGAUAACUAUUGGAAACGAUAGCUAAUACCGCAUAAUAGUAGAUGUUGCAUGACAUUUGCCUAAAAGGUGCAAUUGCAUCACUACCAGAUGGACCUGCGUUGUAUUAGCUAGUUGGUGGGGUAACGGCUCACCAAGGCGACGAUACAUAGCCGACCUGAGAGGGUGAUCGGCCACACUGGGACUGAGACACGGCCCAGACUCCUACGGGAGGCAGCAGUAGGGAAUCUUCGGCAAUGGACGGAAGUCCGACCGAGCAACGCCGCGUGAGUGAAGAAGGUUUUCGGAUCGUAAAGCUCUGUUGUAAGAGAAGAACGAGUGUGAGAGUGGAAAGUUCACACUGUGACGGUAUCUUACCAGAAAGGGACGGCUAACUACGUG